rnacentral:lncRNA from 1 species
AUAUUGUACCGUAUUUUGAAAUUAUAUGAUGAUAAAGUGUAAGAAAUAUUUUGUUAUAUUUCUUGAUGUAUAUUGAUUUGUUUAGUACAGUUACUAUAUUUUUAUAAGUAUAAUUUUUUUUAUGGUCAUAAAUUUUCGACCGUUAAAUGUAUCUCUUUGAUUAUUUCUACAUGUUAGAUCAUACUAUUCAACCAACCAUCUACUUAACUUCAGGGGAUUACUAUCAUUCUAAUCAUGGACCAUUAUCAUCCUAACCGCACAUCCUUUAAUUCAAUAGCCGAAAACUUAUAAAUAUAAAAGAGUGUACAUAUGCUCAUAAGAAUAUAGUAUCCCUAGUCUUGAAUUUUUAUAUAAAAUCAAAAUAAGAACUAUCGAAGAGACAAAGUGCUACACUUUGAACUACAAAAUUGCAAAGUACAAAUAACCAAUACUUAAACAA